rnacentral:rRNA from 1 species
ACGGGAGGCAGCAGUGAGGAAUAUUGGUCAAUGGGCGGGAGCCUGAACCAGCCAAGUAGCGUGGAGGAAGACGGCCCUACGGGUUGUAAACUCCUUUUGCCGGGGGAUAAAAAACGGGACGUGUCCCGUCUUGCAGGUACCCGCGCGAAUAAGGACCGGCUAAUUCCGUGCCAGCAGCCGCGGUAAUACGGAAGGUCCGAGCGUUAUCCGGAUUUAUUGGGUUUAAAGGGAGCGUAGGCCGUGCUUUAAGCGUGUUGUGAAAUGUAGGCGCCCAACGUCUGCACUGCAGCGCGAACUGGAGCACUUGAGUACGCAGGAAGUAGGCGGAAUUCGUCGUGUAGCGGUGAAAUGCUUAGAUAUGACGAAGAACUCCGAUUGGGAAGCCAGCUUACUGUAGCGCCACUGACGCUGAUGCUCGAAAGCGUGGGUAUCGAACAGGAUUAGAUACCCUGGUA